ACAGUAUUCUGGACAUCUGUGUUCGUGAAUCUGUUUCAAUCAUGUUCAUUGCAUUAUGGAGAAGGAAGCCAAGCAAGCAAAGAAGAAAGUUGUCGGUGCGAAAUGGACGUAUUUUUCGAACGUAGUCAGCCACAACAGUACACAGCCGGCGCUUCUUUGUUUACAUUCCCGAAAGAUGCAGUCAAGAUGGAAGAACUCGGAUAACAGAGACUCUAACCAGGAGGACUUUUGAUUUGGAUACACAGACGCCUGUAGAGAACUGGGACAACACAGACUCUUACCAGGAUUACUUUGAUUUGGAUGACAAAGACGCAGACGUGCUACUGGGAGGUCCUUUCGUACUCCAUCGGGGGUGUGGUCUCAAAGGACAACCUUCUUUUCGUCGUCAGUACGCAUUUCCAAUUCCGGCUGCUUCGAGACAAGACGUCUAUCCAGUUCUCCCGCAAAGACUCAGUUGGAGGAAUUUGAGUGCGAUUCAAAAAAAUCCUAGUUUUCCGAGGAGCGUCGUGGUGCAUGUCUUUGGAGGUGGGAGGAAGCCGGAGUACCCGGAGGGAACCCACGCAGUCACGGGGAGAACAUGCAAACUCCACACAGAAAGAUCCCGAGCACAGGAUCGAACCCAGGACCUUCAUAUUGUGAGGCAGACGCACUAACCCCUCCUCCACCGUGCUGCCCAAGAAUGAAUACAUUUGAUAAAAAAAAGAAAAAUAAAGUAUUUUAUUGGUACACAUUAUUAUUUGCGGGCCAUGUAAAAUUAUGUAGUGGGUCAGAUCUGGCCCCUGGACCUUGAGUAUCACACCUAUGCCUUAAGAGGUCCUUAUACCAGACCCUUCCUCAACAACCAGCCCCAGUUUAAGCUUAAAUUGUCUUAUUUAAUG